rnacentral:rRNA from 1 species
GACGAACGCUGGCGGCGUGCUUAACACAUGCAAGUCGAACGGAAAGGCCUCUUUCGGGGGGUACUCGAGUGGCAAACGGGUGAGUAACACGUGAGUAACCUGCCCUUGACUUUGGGAUAACUUCAGGAAACUGGGGCUAAUACCGGAUAGGAGCUCCUGCUGCAUGGUGGGGGUUGGAAAGUUUCGGCGGUUGGGGAUGGACUCGCGGCUUAUCAGCUUGUUGGUGGGGUAGUGGCUUACCAAGGCUUUGACGGGUAGCCGGCCUGAGAGGGUGACCGGCCACAUUGGGACUGAGAUACGGCCCAGACUCCUACGGGAGGCAGCAGUGGGGAAUAUUGCACAAUGGGUGGAAGCCUGAUGCAGCAACGCCGUGUGCGGGAUGACGGCCUUCGGGUUGUAAACCGCUUUCGCUCAUGACGAAGCUUUGUGUGACGGUAGUGGGUAAAGAAGCACCGGCUAACUACGUG